UGAGCAAUCUGCCCUUCACAUCGGAAUAAGCGUUGGAAACGACGUCUAAUGCCGAAUACGACCUCCUUUCGCAUGAUCGGAGGUGGAAAGCUCCGGCGAAGAAGGAUGAGCUCGCGGCCUAUCAGCUAGUUGGUGUGGGUAAUGGCCCACCAAGGCGACGACGGGUAGCCGGCCUGAGAGGGUGACCGGCCACACUGGGACUGAGACACGGCCCAGACUCCGUACGGGAGCAG
rnacentral:rRNA from 1 species